CUUUCUGCCCAUCAUCUACUUGAUUUGCUUCCUUGUUCAGACUUCUCUGUCUCAUUUCUAGAGCUGGGUUUGAUCCCUUGAACCAUUUUGAUGCUUUGAACCCUCUUGGCUCUGAUUUCAUCCCUGGAGGCUUGUCCUAAUUCUGUUAUUCUCAUCUGUAAUUUUACCUAUUUGUCUUUGUAACUCAUUUCCAUAGAUGGUGGUAGUCUCACAAGCCCUCUGCUGAUGGUGUUUUUCUCUCAAUGCUGCUUUUCUCUUCAAAAAGUCAUUUAUAGAGCAGCUGCAGUUUCAAAGGAGACCAGAUAGUUCUGGAAGGAAGGAGUGGUUGGUGAUCCAAGGAAUCCAUGAGCUGUCCCAAUGGCCCUGCCGUUUCUGGUGGGAUUUGGUGAAGAAAAUCCCUGACAGUGGUGGCCAAGGGGAUUGGUAGCCUGGGUUUUGCUGCUGACAGAUAAGAGACUUGGUGACAGGGAAAGCUGCUGGCUUUGUGUCCUGUCAGGAGAUCCCACAAACCUCUCUGAGCUCCAAGUCCUCAGCUCCUGUCAGGCAUUUGCUGGCAUUCAGGUGCAUCUUAUGCUCAUGGCUCUGUGUUCUGCACUCCUGCCCCAUGGAAAAAACCUUGGGUUUCCCCCAGAGCUGGCUGCUCAUCCUCCUCACCUCCUGUUCCAGCAGAUUUCUUGGAGCUGCUCACCACCUAGUGAGCUUAGCAGUCCUUAAGUAACUAAUGAAUGGCAGUGCAAUAUGUUUGUUAUUAAUUUUAUUUUUCUGGUGACUCAAGAAGUUGGAUUCAGGCCAAACCACCUCUUCAUGUGAUCUCCAAGGAGUAAGGACAGGAGGUUUCCUGCUUCCUGCUGUACUGCAUGUGCUUUUCUCUGCUCUUUUGGGAGCUGGCUUUCCUUAGCCAUGUGUACCAAUGCUUGCAUGACAAUAAAAAAGGCAUUUGUGAAAGAAAAAGAA